rnacentral:rRNA from 1 species
UACGAAGGGGGCUAGCGUUGCUCGGAAUCACUGGGCGUAAAGGGUGCGUAGGCGGGUCUUUAAGUCAGGGGUGAAAUCCUGGAGCUCAACUCCAGAACUGCCUUUGAUACUGAAGAUCUUGAGUUCGGGAGAGGUGAGUGGAACUGCGAGUGUAGAGGUGAAAUUCGUAGAUAUUCGCAAGAACACCAGUGGCGAAGGCGGCUCACUGGCCCGAUACUGACGCUGAGGCACGAAAGCGUGGGGAGCAAACAGGAUUAAGAAACCCUGG